rnacentral:misc_RNA from 1 species
CAACCACUCAAGCCCGGCUUGGUGUUGGGGUGUGCGAUCCCGCAGCCCCUAAAAUCAGUGGCGGUGCCGGUGGGCUCUACGCGUAGUAAAUCUCCUCGCGAUUGAGCUCCCCCGGUGGCCUGCCAGAAACCCCCCAUUUUUCA